rnacentral:piRNA from 1 species
AGCGACUGAAAGAAAGAACUGAG